AUGCUCACUUUUGGCAGCACAUAUACUAAAACUGGAGAUGAUGAGCUGAGAAGCAUAGCAUGGUUCUUGGUACAAGGAUGACAUUCACAAUCAUGAAGCUUUCCAUAUAUUU